rnacentral:rRNA from 1 species
UACGUAGGUGGCAAGCGUUGUCCGGAUUUACUGGGCGUAAAGGGCGUGCAGGCGGUUUGUUAAGUCUAGGGUGAAAGCUCCCGGCUCAACUGGGAGAGGUCCUUGGAUACUGGCAGACUUGAGGAGGGUAGAGGAGAGUGGAAUUCCCGGUGUAGUGGUGAUAUGCGUAGAUAUCGGGAGGAACACCAGUGGCGAAGGCGGCUCUCUGGGCCCUACCUGACGCUGAGACGCGAAAGCGUGGGGAGCAAACAGG